GCCAAAAAUUUUGACGUUUGAGUCGCCAUCGCUUGUGUUUGUUCGAAGUCGAACAAUUAAGUGUUUUGUGCUGUUUCUGCCGUGUUAUUAGAAAGAAAAGUGUAUUAAAUCAAGUCAAUGCAGAGCUUUAUACAUAAAUGAGGGCGUCAUCAUCGACAUCCGGAUGUACUUUGGCCUUAUCAGCAAUAUCUUUGGAACACAUGAGAAUAAAGGCUAUCAGGAUUUUGUGGAAGGUUGCAGAUUUUCCCCAUUUUCUUACAAUUUUCUUGCAAACGAAGCUGGAUGAACGCCUUUGCGUCCGUGAUGGACUUUUGAGAUGUUCAGCAGGAUGUUAGUCAGCAUUGAGGAGUAAUAGGAAGUACCCUGAGUGGGCGAUUGCGUUAUCUAGACCAGCAAGACAGCGUAUUAUAUGAGUCGGGGCACAACAGAAGAUGACAUCUCAACGAGUAUCUAUCCACUCGUAACUUUCUUACAUCACCUCGCCGGGGAAAAAGCAUCAAUCAAUAACAACCCCUUCAAGGCCUCUGAGAAUCUCCUUCCGGGCUCAUCGUUGUCAUUAGAAAUCCAACAGCAGUCCCACAAAUAUGGAUGCAAUCAAGAAGAACGACAAUGCGUGCAGUGGCGCGAAUAGGUUAUAAUGUAGUACAAGAGAUACAAAAUGUUGGUCUAAUAUUUUUAAAAGAUAUUAUGUUAAAAGACGGUAAUUUUAGCGCCCAGAACGCCAAGAACCCUUUUAGGUAGAUAAUUCUAAGGUGAAAGAUAAAAAUUUAGAUUUUCCUGAAUUCCGUAAAUAUAUUUUGAGUUCUAGCAUGAGAUUAACUUCUAGUUUCUUACAACUCUGUCUCAAAACAAUUAGACAAUUAGAUAGACAAAACACAUUCAAUCAAUUUUUAAAACACUUACACCUCAAUAUCUUGAAGGAGAAAGAAAAGAAUUCUUGAAUUGAGAAAGAAAGAUCUUUUUCUCUUUAAAGAAUUCUUGAAUUAAAAAAGAUUCAUUAUCUUCUUAAGAACAUUUGAGUAUCUUCAAGGAGAAAGAAAGGAAUUCUUUAAGAAUUUUUAAUUAAUUUGUUGAGAAAAAGGAUUUUUUUACUUAAAAUUAAUUCUUGAAUUAAAAAUGAUUUUUUUUCAGUGUAAAGAAAUUUAGCGUAAUCUUGAAAAAGAAAAGAAUUCUUUAAGAAUUUUUAAUUAAUUUGUUGAGAAAAAGGAUUUUUUUUACUUAAAAUUAAUUCUUGAAUUAAAAAUGAUUUUUUUUCAGUGUAAAGAAAUUUAGCGUAAUCUUGAAAAAGAAAAGAAUUCUUUAAGAUUUUUUAAUUAAUUUGUUGAGAAAAAGGAUUUUUUUACUUAAAAUUAAUUCUUGAAUUAAAAAUGAUUUUUUUUCAGUGUAAAGAAAUUUAGCGUAAUCUUGAAAAAGAAAAGAAUUCUUUAAGAAUUUUUAAUUAAUUUGUUGAGAAAAAGGAUUUUUUUAUUUAAAAUUAAUUCUUGAAUUAAAAAUGAUUUUUUUCAGUGUAAAGAAUUUUAGAGAAGAAAAGAAUUCUUUAAGAUUUUUUAAUUAAUUUGUUGAGAAAAAGGAUUUUUUUAUUUAAAAUUAAUUCUUGAAUUAAAAAUGAUUUUUUUCUGUGUAAAGAAUUUUAGAGUAAUCUUGAAAAAGAAAAGAAUUCUUUAAGAUUUUUUAAUUAAUUUGUUGAGAAAAAGGAUUUUUUUUACUUAAAAUUAAUUCUUGAAUUAAAAAUGAUUUUUUUUCAGUGUAAAGAAAUUUAGCGUAAUCUUGAAAAAGAAAAGAAUUCUUUAAGAUUUUUUAAUUAAUUUGUUGAGAAAAAGGAUUUUUUUACUUAAAAUUAAUUCUUGAAUUAAAAAUGAUUUUUUUUCAGUGUAAAGAAAUUUAGCGUAAUCUUGAAAAAGAAAAGAAUUCUUUAAGAAUUUUUAAUUAAUUUGUUGAGAAAAAGGAUUUUUUUAUUUAAAAUUAAUUCUUGAAUUAAAAAUGAUUUUUUUCAGUGUAAAGAAUUUUAGAGAAGAAAAGAAUUCUUUAAGAUUUUUUAAUUAAUUUGUUGAGAAAAAGGAUUUUUUUAUUUAAAAUUAAUUCUUGAAUUAAAAA